GAAAAUGGAGACCUCCCAGUCCCCGGCCUGGAGGAGCUGAGAGCUUUGGGCCCUCUACUCAGUGCGCCCUCAGAGAAUAGCGCCCAAUCACUACCGUCUACUUGGCCUCUGGCCAUGCUCCGAGCUCACCCAGCCUGCUACUGGUUCAAGUGCAGGACCAAUGGAUGAGACAGGCAGGCCCAGUGCAGCCCUGGCAGGGCUGGGUCAAGCGGAGAACACAGGACCCC
rnacentral:lncRNA from 1 species